UCACUUUGGCAGCACAUAUAAUAAAAUUGGAAUGAUACAGAGAACAUUAGCAUGGCCCCUGUGCAAAGAUAGCACGAAAAUUCAUGAAGCAGUUCAUAUUUUU
ensembl:snRNA U6 U6 spliceosomal RNA